CCUAAAUCAUUCAUUAUUAUAUAUAUUAUCUUUCUCUACAAAUUACCAUCUCACUAAAUAAGCCAAAACUCUUUCUCUUCCAGCCUUCCCAAGAUUCGUUCAUCUCUCUCUUCUCUAUUUCUCCGCCUCUUUACCAAGUUCCGCCACCCCGUUGCAAAGUCCCACCGGUUUUGUAGAGCACGUGAAGAGAUUCUCCACCGAUGUCACAGAGUGCCAACAAGAUUCCAAAUAGACUCAUAAUAGAUGACUCAUAACGGUCAGUCCAUUCCAUCUCUUCCGUUGCUGUGGGUCUACACCACCAGCUUUGAAGCUCUGAAUCCAUAACCCAUGGCUAAUCGAGAAAGGUGAAGGAUGGGACACAAACCCUAACGCAAAAACACGAAACCGCACUGUUUCCAUCACCAACUUCGAAAGCACAGCCGUUGCAAACCACCUCUGAAUCUGCUCCCGUGAGACUUCCCUUCGCCCAUCGGAUGUCAUCACCGAAAUCUUCUGCACUCAUAUCCAUUACAGCCACCACCAUAAUCGUUUUCGGUCACUUAUCUGAUUUUCGUUUUAUUUUUAGAAAAUUUUGAAAUCGAUUUGUUUGUUUGUUAUGUAUUUGUAAGAAGCAACUGGCUUUGAAAUCGAUUGUUUCGGGAAAGGUAUAAUUGUUUGACAUUUGAAUGUAGUUAGUUGUUGAUAUUUUGUUUGGACUUUUGGUUGUUUGUGAUAACAUGUUGUGGUGCUUUAACGUGUGUGUGUUUGGAAUAUCAUAAUAGAGUGGAGGGAAAAAGACCGAAGCUUGCUGGUAUUACUAACCAGCUCUGGAAAUCGGCGAAGGAAAAAAUACAUGUUCUUGAUGGUAUCACUAGCAAUAAGAGAUUGAUAUGCAUGUUCUAUUCAUUUUGGUGGACCUCUUGGCUUAUACUCUGUGACGGUGUUUGCAGCUUUCAACUGAUAUUCUAUGCAUGUUCUAUUCUUGAUGGUAUCACUAGCAACUGGUUUUCUUUUUUUUUUUUGGUUCAUGCUGAGUUUGGUUUUUGAUAUGAGCAUCAUUGUUUUGAGUUGUAUGGCUUUCUGUUUUGUAGUUUUGAAGAUGGUUUGCAGAGUUGGAAGGUAGAGUGGACUGUUGUGAUUUGGUUUAUUUGUAUUGAUUGAAAUUUUGGUGAGUGAAAAUAUGGAAAGUGGCUGCAGGAACCCUCUGUAUUAUGCCUGGUGUUUCUGAACUGUAUAUUAUCUCUUCUUUACUGUAGAGCUGAUAGUGAACUGAUGCGGUUUGCAGAGUUGGAAGGUAGAGUGGACUGUUGUGAUUUGGUUUAUUUGUAUUGAUUGAAAUUUUGGUGAGUGAAAAUAUGGAAAGUGGCUGCAGGAACCCUCUGUAUUAUGCCUGGUGUUUCUGAACUGUAUAUUAUCUCUUCUUUACUGUAGAGCUGAUAGUGAACUGAUGCGGUUGUGAUAUUUGAAUGAAAAUGUAUAUGGUUUGGGUAGUACUUGAAUGGAUAUUGAUGUGAUUAAGCAGAGUCUGCUUGUGUAUGGCAGUGGGUUGAAUUUGGAUGAUUGUGGCAGGUUGAGUCAUUAUUUGCGGAGGCUUUAUAGAUUAAACAUGGCAAGACAUGGUGGUAAGAGUAUUCAAGAAGAAGAAGUGGAAAUGGCUUGAAAAAUGAAGAAAUGAAGAGAAAUGGUUUGAAGAUGGAACGAGAAUGGGACCAAGAUUUGGCUGUAAAAAUGUUUAGAAUAAUUUUUGUAUUUAAAUGGUGUAAUUGUCUUUGAAUUUUGUAAUUGAUUUUUGUAAUAAAUUGUAUGGACAUGUAUUAUAAUGGAUUUGGAUGAACACUUGAAUGAA